GACGAACGCUGGCGGCGUGCCUAAUACAUGCAAGUAGAACGCACAGUUUAUACCGUAGCUUGCUACACCAUAGACUGUGAGUUGCGAACGGGUGAGUAACGCGUAGGUAACCUGCCUGGUAGCGGGGGAUAACUAUUGGAAACGAUAGCUAAUACCGCAUAAUAUUAAUUAUUGCAUGAUAAUUAAUUGAAAGGUGCAAUUGCACCACUACCAGAUGGACCUGCGUUGUAUUAGCUAGUAGGUGAGGUAACGGCUCACCUAGGCGACGAUACAUGGCCGACCUGAGAGGGUGAUCGGCCACACUGGGACGGAGACACGGCCCAGACUCCUACGGGAGGCAGCAGUAGGGAAUCUUCGGCAAUGGACGAAAGUCUGACCGAGCAACGCCGCGUGAGUGAAGAAGGGUUUCGGAUCGUAAAGCUCUGUUGUAAGAGAAGAACGGGUGUGAGAGUGGAAAGUUCACACUGUGACGGUAUCUUACCAGAAAGGGACGGCUAACUACGUG
rnacentral:rRNA from 1 species